GAGAGAGAGAGAGAACAAAAACAAGUCAAGAGGUUUGUGUGUGUGGCUGUGUGUUCUAUAGGUUUAGCACUGAGAGGGGACUUAUCUGGUAAGUAUGUUGUCAGGACGGUGAUGUGUGGUUUUGUUGAGUUGUCAUGAUGCGUCUCUGGAGAUCUAGCACUUUGAGCCCAAUUGAUCUUUAUACCUGUCUUCUUAGCUUCUAUCAUGUUGUUAGUCGAAGCUUUAAAAUGCCAAUGACAAGAGACUGCAUCUGCCCAGUGAUAGGCUUCCUGCUAGUUCCAAUUCUGACAUGACUAGUGAUCCUGGUGGCUGGUGUUGUAACUUGUAAGGAACUACCUAAAUCUUUUGGUAGAGAGAAGAAGCUCAAUCGUCA